AACGAACGCUGGCGGCAGGCUUAACACAUGCAAGUCGAACGCCCCGCAAGGGGAGUGGCAGACGGGUGAGUAACGCGUGGGAAUCUACCCAGUUCUACGGAACAACUGAGGGAAACUUCAGCUAAUACCGUAUACGCCCUACGGGGGAAAGAUUUAUCGGAAUUGGAUGAGCCCGCGUUGGAUUAGCUAGUUGGUGGGGUAAUGGCCUACCAAGGCGACGAUCCAUAGCUGGUCUGAGAGGAUGAUCAGCCACACUGGGACCGAGACACGGCCCAGACUCCUACGGGAGGCAGCAGUGGGGAAUAUUGGACAAUGGGCGCAAGCCUGAUCCAGCCAUGCUGCGUGAGUGAUGAAGGCCUUAGGGUUGUAAAACUCUUUCAGUGGGGACGAUAAUGACGGUACCCACAGAAGAAGCCCCGGCUAACUUCGUGCCAGCCGCCGCCGUAAAAC
rnacentral:rRNA from 1 species